AAACUCAAAGGAAUUGACGGGGGCCCGCACAAGCGGUGGAGUAUGUGGUUUAAUUCGACGCAACGCGAAGAACCUUACCAGGGCUUGACAUUGAGUGAAAGUUCUAGAGAUAGAAUCCUAUCCUUCGGGAUACACGAAAACAGGUGGUGCAUGGCUGUCGUCAGCUCGUGUCGUGAGAUGUUGGGUUAAGUCCCGCAACGAGCGCAACCCUUAUCCUUUGUUGCCAGCGAGUAAUGUCGGGAACUCAAGGGAGACUGCCGUCGACAAGACGGAGGAAGGCGGGGAUGACGUCAAGUCAUCAUGCCCCUUAUGUCCUGGGCUACACACGUACUACAAUGGGCUUAAACAAAGCGAAGCAAGACCGCGAGGUCAAGCAAAACGCAUAAACAAGCUCUCAGUUCGGAUCGGAGGCUGCAACUCGCCUCCGUGAAGUCGGAAUCGCUAGUAAUCGCAGGUCAGCAUACUGCGGUGAAUACGUUCCCGGGCCUUGUACACACCGCCCGUCACACCACGAAAGUUGACAACACCCGAAGCCGGUGGGGUAACCAGCAAUGGAACUAGCCGUCUAAGGUGGGGCCGAUGAUUGGGGUGAAGUCGUAACAAGGUAGCCGUAUCGGAAGGUGCGGCUGGAUCACCUCCUUUAUG
rnacentral:rRNA from 1 species